rnacentral:rRNA from 1 species
GAGGUCAAGCAAAUCCCAUAAAGUUGUUCUCAGUUCGGAUUGUAGUCUGCAACUCGACUACAUGAAGCUGGAAUCGCUAGUAAUCGUAGAUCAGCAUGCUACGGUGAAUACGUUCCCGGGUCUUGUACACACCGCCCGUCACACCACGAGAGUUUGCAACACCCGAAGCCGGUGGAGUAACCUUUUAGGAGCUAGCCGUCGAAGGUGGGACAAAUGAUUGGGGUGAAGUCGUAACAAGGUAGCCGUAUCGGAAGGUGCGGCUGGAUCACCUCCUUU